rnacentral:rRNA from 1 species
UACGUAGGGUGCGAGCGUUGUCCGGAAUUAUUGGGCGUAAAGGGCUCGUAGGCGGUCUGUUGCGUCGGGAGUGAAAACUCAGGGCUUAACCCUGAGCCUGCUUCCGAUACGGGCAGACUAGAGGUAUGCAGGGGAGAACGGAAUUCCUGGUGUAGCGGUGAAAUGCGCAGAUAUCAGGAGGAACACCGGUGGCGAAGGCGGAUCUCUGGGCCAUAACUGACGCUGAGGAGCGAAAGCAUGGGGAGCGAACAGG